GACAACUCAGACAACAACACCAUCUUCGUGCAGGGGCUGGGCGAGAACGUCACCAUCGAAUCGGUGGCGGAUUAUUUCAAACAGAUCGGGAUUAUCAAGACCAACAAGAAGACCGGCCAGCCCAUGAUCAAUCUCUACACCGACCGCGAGACCGGCAAGCUGAAGGGCGAGGCCACCGUGUCCUUCGAUGACCCCCCCUCGGCCAAAGCGGCCAUCGACUGGUUCGAUGGGAAGGAAUUUUCGGGC